CUGGGACAGGAACUAGCCCCAGAGCUGCAGCCCUCAAGCAUAUCCAAUAACUCCUGCUGGUGUGGAUGUUCUUCACAAAGAAGAAUCCAGCUCUCCACAAUUUCUGAUUUCUGAUUUCUGGAGCUACCUGGGACUGGAUUCCAGUUUGGGAAGGUUACAGAGGCAACUGCUUCUGUAUGAGGACAGCAACUUUUCCCCGGGGAGGCAGUGAUACACCAGGAGAACUGCUGACAUCUCCUCACAGCCACCUCUCUGCAGCAGAAUUCAGCUCUCCACAAGUGACUUCUGCCUUCUGGAGCCACCUGGGACUGGAUUCCAGUUUGGGAAGAUUGCAGAGGCAAUUGCCUCUGUCUGAGGGCAGCAACUUUUCCCCAGGGAGGAAGUGAUAUCCCAGGAGAACUUCUGACAUCUCCUCACAGCCACCUCUCUGCAGCAGCAGUAUUUUAUCUACGGAUAUCAGAAGGGACAUUGAGAAGGCCUGGAAAGAAGGGAAGUUGCUGGAAGUAGUCUCUGUGGUCAGGAAGA
rnacentral:lncRNA from 1 species